GAAAUAAUGCAAUGACCCCAAAUCCUUGAUUUUAAAUGUAUCAUCCAGGAAGAUUUUUAAGGUAGCAAUCUCAUCACAGUCAUGCCCAGUGAUGAUAAUGUCAUCAACAUACACAGCAACCACAACAAGGGAACCAGGAGUACCUUUCAAUAAUAAAGAGUAGUCAUUCAAAGAGUGCCUGUAACCCCUGGAAUGAAGAGCAGAGGACAGCUUA
rnacentral:lncRNA from 1 species